CAUGCAAGUCGAGCGGAGAUGAGGUGCUUGCACCUUAUCUUAGCGGCGGACGGGUGAGUAAUGCUUAGGAAUCUGCCUAUUAGUGGGGGACAACAUUCCGAAAGGAAUGCUAAUACCGCAUACGUCCUACGGGAGAAAGCAGGGGAUCUUCGGACCUUGCGCUAAUAGAUGAGCCUAAGUCGGAUUAGCUAGUUGGUGGGGUAAAGGCCUACCAAGGCGACGAUCUGUAGCGGGUCUGAGAGGAUGAUCCGCCACACUGGGACUGAGACACGGCCCAGACUCCUACGGGAGGCAGCAGUGGGGAAUAUUGGACAAUGGGGGGAACCCUGAUCCAGCCAUGCCGCGUGUGUGAAGAAGGUCUUAUGGUUGUAAAGCACUUUAAGCGAGGAGGAGGCUACUGAGACUAAUACUCUUGGAUAGUGGACGUUACUCGCAGAAUAAGCACCGGCUAACUCUGUGCCAGCAGCCGCGGUAAUACAGAGGGUGCGAGCGUUAAUCGGAUUUACUGGGCGUAAAGCGUGCGUAGGCGGCUUUUUAAGUCGGAUGUGAAAUCCCCGAGCUUAACUUGGGAAUUGCAUUCGAUACUGGGAAGCUAGAGUAUGGGAGAGGAUGGUAGAAUUCCAGGUGUAGCGGUGAAAUGCGUAGAGAUCUGGAGGAAUACCGAUGGCGAAGGCAGCUCUCUG
rnacentral:rRNA from 1 species